CAGCCGCCGCGGUAAUACGAAGGGUGCAAGCGUUAAUCGGAAUUACUGGGCGUAAAGCGCGCGUAGGUGGUUCAUUAAGUUGGAUGUGAAAGCCCUGGGCUCAACCUGGGAACUGCAUCCAAAACUGGCAGGCUAGAGUAGGGCAGAGGGUGGUGGAAUUUCCUGUGUAGCGGUGAAAUGCGUAGAUAUAGGAAGGAACACCAGUGGCGAAGGCGACCACCUGGGCUCAUACUGACACUGAGGUGCGAAAGCGUGGGGAGCAAACAGGAUUAGAUACCCGGGUAGUCCCUGUCUCUUAUAC
rnacentral:rRNA from 1 species